GACGCCGCACAAACUGCUGUAAAGCAGCGGUGGGGCCUGCGGUGUUGGACGGGGACUCCGCGAGCCCCAUCGCGCCCUCCGCUGGCCACGGGGGAAGCGCGGCGGAAAGUAACAGAGGGGCGGGAGCCGGAGCGCUGGCGGCGGCUGGGACGCGGCGGGACCCGGCGGCACCGAGAGCGCAGCCGCGCGCGUCCCCGCGGACCGAGAGGAGGCGCCGGGCCGGGGCGGGGCGGAGCGGGAGCCGCGGGGUCGGCGAGAGGCGCAGGGCGAUGAGGAAGACAAGCAAUAAGGACCGCGCCCCGGACGCUGGCCGUCAGAGACCCCGACCUCGGCCUGCAGCUCGGGUGCCGCGCGCUCCCGGCCCGACCCGCACGGGCCUGCGGCGCCUAGUCCGGGCGCUGCUCUUCGCCUGGCUGAGGUGAGCGCGUCGCUGAGCGGAUCCAGUCAGCCCGGGCCGGAGCCUCCCAGAUGUGACAGCCUGCGCCGCUGGCCCCGCCCACGCCCUGAGCGCCGCUUGGCGGGAACUAAUCGCCCCCAGCCCCGCCUACCCUCUGAGCGCUGAUUGGAGGAAUUCCACCCCGAGAGACUCUGUUUCUUGUUCACUCAGCGCGGGAAUUCUAGACAGAAACUGCCGGGCCACAUCCGCAGCCCCUGAGGCCUGAGCCGCUGGGUCGUCCGCACUCCGACCCCACCCGCCCGUGAAGUCUCUCACGCCACCAGUCAGGCCCGCAGUGGCCCCAGCCUUCCCGCCCUGCGCAGGCCGCCCGUUGCUGCCGCCUCGGGCCUCUCCUCGCUGCAGGCGCCUCAGGCCUCUUCUCACUGUAGGCCUCUUCCAGGAGGGAGCACUGAGUGCGUGGAGCCGGCGCCGCGCUAGGCCGCCCUCGGAGGCUCCCCGGGCCCAUCCUAGCGCGGGCCGGACGCCUCGGAUUCCACACCACCGUUGGCUCCGACUCCACAGCCCCGUCAGCUCCGAACUUCUGGCUCCGCGGUUGCUUCGGGUCCGGCUCUUCAGGCAGCUCCUGGCUGGUGUCGUCGAAAACUGUAGUGGAUGUGUGGAGCUCAGGGCUCCCAGCGCCUCCUGCUAUAGAAUGGGAGGGAGCCAGCUGGUGAGGGGAAUGAGAGAAAAAGAAGAAAAGGAGAGGGACCGUUUAUCGAGGAAAAGGGAAACAAAGGAGAAGUCAGCGUUUAUUGAGGAAAUGAGAAAAAAAAAGAAAGAGAAAAGCCAGAGGAGAUGAAAACAUGAAGAAAUAGAUAAGAUGUGUUCUGCAUGUAGGAAGGGUAACCGCAAGAGCAAAGGGGCAGUAGCACAGAAGUCAAAGGCUGUGGUCAUUGUAUCUUUCUAUGAAGUCACACCUGAACUGCCCGCUGAUCUGCGUGCUUGCCAUGAUUGACACAUCACAUUCUGGAUUCGCAGCUGUGAUUGGCCGACACUUAACAGCCCUUUGAGAUGGACAGUUUACGCCCAAUGAGUCUGUCUUUUUCCCCUGCCCUAAUCUGCCUCAGGUCAGAUCAGGGGUGCACUAGUCAGGUGUGUGAUUCUAAGCCGAAGGUAGCAAAAAUGUCCUUUCUUGUCUUGCACUGCCAGGCUCCCUGCUGUGGAGACCAUUCCCCUUUAGACCUGAGCUCCCUUACCUAGAUCUCUGUCAAGGCCAGGACCCUCAAGCACCAGGGGAAGAGUUCAGGGCUCCAUGCCCUCCAUAAUUUUACAGUGAUUCUGAUCGGCUUGUCUAGGCAUCCGAUCCCUAAGAGGAGUGGCAACUUGGGUUGCCUUGUGAGUGAAGGACUUUAUACAAGUUGGAGGAGGAAAAUGUGAAACUCCGGAGAGAUGAGGAAUUGCCAGAAUGGGUCUUCCCUGAAAGGUUUGGCCCAGACAGGACACUGUAGCCAGGAAAGCCACAACCGGAAGCAGGAAGCCCCAUCUUGCCCUGCCCCUAGGAAGUUACCUGUGACGCCAUCUUCCCGCCCCUGGGAAUUUACAUAUGGCGCCAAACCUAGGACCAAUGGGCUACCUGUGUAUCCCUAAUGCCCGCCUUAGGUUCCACCCCAAACCGAGGUUAUUUACAGGCCCCCACGCCGCGUGUCCACCGGAGAGAUCGCCGGACGCCAGCGGUGGGGGUUGCCGGUCAUCUCUCUCCGUGUUCUCAGAAUAAAGGCCGCUUUUUAUUUUAUAUUUCUCAUCUUUUGUUAAUAUUUUUCAUCUUUUGGAAAUAACUCUAUCAUUUGUUGCCGUGACUCGAUCGGCAGGCAACUAACUCUUGGGCCACAUACCCAGCGUUUCCUCGCCGAUAAUCAGAUAACAUCCUGGAUUAAUCCCGAGCUUUUUCCUCUCCCGAGACGUUCCUGUCGCCAGCUGCCUGCACUCCGCAUCGGCCAGACUGAUUUCAGAGGACUCAACUCUUGUGCCACGGAGUCAGGUGUCAUCUCCUCAGUUAAGCACAUCAGUGGUUCCAGCUCUCCCCAGAGAAUCCUCUAGAGUGGAAGAUACUGAACAAAAGAACUUGGGACUUGUUCAAAACUGUAACCUUAGCAUAUGGAACCACCCCAAUGAAAAACCGAAUAAAUUGUUCUCGAGUGAAUGAAUAAAGUAUGGUUGAAAAAAAUUUAUAUACAAGCAAAAA